UAAAUGCCGUUGACUACUACAUACAUAUGCCUACUACUUUCAUAUGUAGGUAUAUGUAUGUAGUAGUCAAAGGCAUUUA
rnacentral:miRNA from 1 species